rnacentral:rRNA from 1 species
CAGCAGCCGCGGGAAUACGGAGGGUGCAAGCGUUAAUCGGAAUUACUGGGCGUAAAGCGCACGCAGGCGGUCUGACAAGUCAGAUGUGAAAUCCCCGGGCUUAACCUGGGAACUGCAUUUGAAACUGUCAGGCUGGAGUCUUGUAGAGGGGGGUAGAAUUCCAGGUGUAGCGGUGAAAUGCGUAGAGAUCUGGAGGAAUACCGGUGGCGAAGGCGGCCCCCUGGACAAAGACUGACGCUCAGGUGCGAAAGCGUGGGGAGCAAACAGGAUUAGAUACCCCAGUAGUCCCUGUCUCUUAUAU